CCCUUAGAUGUUCUGGGCCGCACGCGCGCUACACUGAUGCAUUCAACGAGUCUAAAACCUGCUCUGAUAGGGGUGGGUAAUCUUUUGAAUGUGCAUCGUGAUUGGGAUAGAUGAUUGCAAUUUUUCAUCUUCAACGAGGAAUGCCUAGUAAACGCAAGUCAUCAGCUUGCAUUGAUUACGUCCCUGCCCUUUGUACACACCGCCCGUCGCUCCUACCGAUUGAAUGGUCCGGUGAGGCUUUGGGAUCUGAGCGGAAAGAGCGUUUCGCUGUUUCUGCUCGGAAAACUCAGUCGAACCUUAUCAUUUAGAGGAAGGAGAAGUCGUAACA
rnacentral:rRNA from 1 species